rnacentral:rRNA from 1 species
AGUUUGAUCCUGGCUCAGAGCGAACGUUUGCGGCGGGCUUAACACAUGCAAGUCGAACGAGAAUCCCUUCGGGGAGGAAAGUGGCGCACGGGUGCGUAACACGUGGAUAACCAACCCAUUGGUUUGGGACAACACCGGGAAACUGGUGCUAAUACCAGAUGUGUCGCAGCUGUCUUCAGGCGGUUGCGAGAAAGGCCCGCAAGGGUCGCCAACGGACGGGUCCGCGUCCCAUCAGCUAGUUGGUGAGGUAAUGGCUCACCAAGGCAAAGACGGGUAGCUGGUCUGAGAGGAUGAUCAGCCACACUGGAACUGAGACACGGUCCAGACUCCUACGGGAGGCAGCAGUGGGGAAUAUUGCGCAAUGGGCGAAAGCCUGACGCAGCCACGCCGCGUGAGCGAUGAAGGUCUUCGGAUCGUAAAGCUCUGUGGGGGGAGAAGAAGAAAGCCGGUGAAGAGCCGGCCCUGACGGUAUCCCCUUAGCAAGCACCGGCUAACUCCGUG